rnacentral:tRNA from 1 species
GCUCAUAAAGCUCAAUUGGUCGAGCGCAGAAUUGAAAAUUCUGAGGUUCUAGGUUCAAGCCCUUGGAUGAGCA